ensembl:lncRNA
AAUGACUUAUCAGGUGAUAAAUGCGAGCCUGUUGUGAUCCGCGUUAAUAAGGGCAGCCAGCUGUAUUAUUCUCAGCUGUUCCAGGAGAGUGAGCCAAACCAGCUGUGUAGGUGAGGGUGCAGAGCCAGCACAGGGAAUUGGUCCUAAUGAAUACAAGAUUGAUCAAACUCCCUCCAAAAACCAACCCUUUUGAUGAUGUGAAACAUGGAUUUCCUAAAAUAUGAAAGGAAUGAUUUGUUCUACCGUUGUUAAUGGCUGAAGGCAAAUAAUCAGGAGACUGAAUUAACAAAACUACUACUACCUUCAUACUGCUGCGGCUGAAGGCUCUCCUGGGAGCUCACUGACUCAUAAGAAUGUUGCUCAUCCUUUUCAGCCCAUCUAGGAGAACAACAUGUGCAGAGACACCCAGAGACACCUUCCCAAUCCAUGUGACCUGCUUUUGACCAGUAUGCCUUGGAAGGCCAACAUAGCUUCAGGCUGCAGUUAAAUUCUCCCUUCAGUUUGAAAGAAAAGCCAGAAGCUCUCCAGCUGGCAGCAAAUUUCUAAACACGGGAGAAGAAGAGCAGUGCUUGCAGCUACUGAGUAUAUUGUGCACUGACGAUGUUCUGUGACUGGUCUGUUUUAAUAAAUGACAACUGGAACACAAGUAACAAAAUACCUACAAAGCAUGGCUUCACUGUGAUCAGAACAUUUUCCAGGUGUUCUGAUAAUUCAGGAGAAAAAGAAAAGCAAAUUUGAAAAACAAAAUGAGAUACCAUGCAGAAUUAGUAAUGUAUUAGACACAAAUCAUCUUGGUUUGUUUUCCUCUCUGGAUGACACCCUGGCAAUCUCUGGAGGCCUGAUGCUUGGAAGAGCUCUUCCAACGUGCAGUUUGUGUUGGACAAAAUGUGAGCUUGGUGCUCAGUGGGCAGAAAGCCCUGUGCAAUGAUGGGAAGUUCUGGCUGAGCUCCUUUGGAUACAAAACUCCUCCAGACUCAUUAAGUCGUGCAUGAUUGUGUGAGGGACUUACACAAAAGCCU